UACCCUCGGGAGGGGGAUAACCCCGGGAAACUGGGGCUAAUCCCCCAUAGGCCUGGGGUACUGGAAGGUCCCCAGGCCGAAAGGGACUCUGCCCGCCCGAGGAUGGGCCGGCGGCCGAUUAGGUAGUUGGUGGGGUAACGGCCCACCAAGCCGAAGAUCGGUACGGGCCAUGAGAGUGGGAGCCUGGAGAUGGACACUGAGACACGGGUCCAGGCCCUACGGGGCGCAGCAGGCGCGAAACCUUCGCAAUGCGCGAAAGCGCGACGAGGGGAGCCCGAGUGCCCUUCCUUUCGGGAGGGCUUUUCUGGAGCCUAAAAAGCUCCAGGAAUAAGGGCUGGGCAAGACGGGUGCCAGCCGCCGCGGUAAUACCCGCAGCUCGAGUGGUGGCCGCUAUUAUUGAGCCUAAAGCGUCCGUAGCCGGACCCGUAAAUCCCUGGGUAAAUCCUGGCGCUCAACGUCAGGAAUUCCGGGGAGACUGCGGGUCUUGGGACCGGGAGAGGCCGGAGGUACUCCCGGGGUAGGGGUAAAAUCCUGUAAUCCCGGGGGGACCACCUGUGGCGAAAGCGUCCNGCUUGA
rnacentral:rRNA from 1 species